rnacentral:rRNA from 1 species
AGUGAACGCUGGCGGUAGGCCUAACACAUGCAAGUCGAACGGCAGCACAGUAAGAGCUUGCUCUUACGGGUGGCGAGUGGCGGACGGGUGAGGAAUACAUCGGAAUCUACUUUUUCGUGGGGGAUAACGUAGGGAAACUUACGCUAAUACCGCAUACGACCUACGGGUGAAAGCAGGGGAUCUUCGGACCUUGCGCGAUUGAAUGAGCCGAUGUCGGAUUAGCUAGUUGGCGGGGUAAAGGCCCACCAAGGCGACGAUCCGUAGCUGGUCUGGGAGGAGGAUCAGCCACACUGGAACUGGGACACGGUCCAGGCUCCUACGGGAGGCAGCAGUGGGGAAUAUUGGACAAUGGUCGCAAGCCUGAUCCAGCCAUACCGCGUGGGUGAAGAAGGCCUUCGGGUUGUAAAGCCCUUUUGUUGGGAAAGAAAAGCAGCAGGUUAAUACCCCGCUGUUCUGACGGUACCCAAAGAAUAAGCACCGGCUAACUUCGUG